GACGAACCGAGCGAACGUUAUUCGGAAUCACUGGGCUUAAAGGGCGCGUAGGCGGGCGGCCAAGUCAGGGGUGAAAGCCCCCAGCUCAACUGGGGAAGUGCCUCUGAUACUGGUCAUCUCGAGGGAGAUAGGGGCGUGCGGAACUUCCGGUGGAGCGGUGAAAUGCGUAGAUAUCGGAAGGAACACCGGUGGCGAAGGCGGCGACCUGGGUAGAUACUGACGCUGAGGUGCGAAAGCGUGGGGAGCAAACAGGG
rnacentral:rRNA from 1 species